UCAGGUCUUAAGUCGGCAAUUGGGUCAUAUCAAAACGAUGUCAUUUUAGGACUUAUGAACACUAGCCAAAACGACGUCGUUUUGCCUUGCCUAUAUAAGCCAAAAAAUCCUUAAAAGAAAUUUAUUACGUCUGCGUUUUUAAAAAAAAAACAUCGAGAGCUCUCCCUUUUUCUCUCGGUUUUUCCCACAUCUGACCCCGGCACCGACGAGCCUCCGCUGUGGCUGAAAAAUAAAAAUUGCUUGUAGUCCCUUUUCUAAAAAAAAAAUUUAAACCCAUAUCUAAAUAGAAUAUUUUUUGAAAUAAAAGAAAAACAAAAAAAAAAAAAACGCGAAGGAAAACCUUCAGCCUCGCUGCGUUCAUCAGACCCUCGUCGGGACCGUAAUGGGUUCUGAGAUAUUCGGGGUGUCGGAGGUGGUCCUUGACUGCGGCGGAAGGUGGAACGGCAUGUGAGAACCCUUCCUCUCCUUUUUUUUAUGUAUUUAUUAUAUCUUUUUAAACGAAAAAAUUAAAACACUACCUUUCUGUUCUUUUCGAAAUCUUAUUUUUCUAUUUCUUUUCUCUUUUUUUUUUUAUAUCUGAUUGCGUGUUCUUAAAAUACAUUGAUUUUCAUGGCUUUUAUAGCCAUAAUAUUUACAUUGUUUAUUAUUUAUGUUUCGCUACUGUUUCUUUGAUGCUAUCUCUUUGUUGUUUCUGUCUUUUCUUCGUCCUUUUUGCAAGUAUUGGUGCAUGGUCAACGGCGAGAAAAGAGGCCUGCGCUGGCCAUUUUGGUGAAAUGGUGGCCAAGGAGCAUCAGGCUUCCGGACGAGGAGCGCUAACAUGGCCAAGGGCAGCGGCACAAAUGGGAUUAGGGUUUUUUAGUUUUACUAAGAGAUAAUUUUGGUUGUGGGCCUAUAAUUAAGUUUUAAGGUUUUGUAUCAGGCUAUAUUUUGGGCUUUAAUUUUUUAUAUUUAGGCAAUUAUUGUAAUUGGACUUUGGACUCUUAUUUAUUUAGUUCUAUUUAUUUUGUUAUUAUUUUUGUUUAGUGGGUCGGGCAAAAUUUAC
rnacentral:lncRNA from 1 species